UACGUAGGGGGCUAGCGUUGUCCGGAAUCAUUGGGCGUAAAGAGCGCGUAGGCGGCCAGAUAAGUCCGGUGUGAAAGUCAAAGGCUCAACCUUUGAAUGCCGCUGGAAACUGUCUGGCUAGAGUCCGGGAGGGGCGAGUGGAAUUCCCGGUGUAGCGGUGAAAUGCGCAGAUAUCGGGAGGAACACCUAUGGCGAAGGCAGCUCGCUGGGACGUUACUGACGCUGAGACGCGAAAGCGUGGGGAGCAAACAGG
rnacentral:rRNA from 1 species